AUUGAACGCUGGCGGCAGGCCUAACACAUGCAAGUCGAGCGAGCGGCGGACGGGUGAGUAAUGCCAAGGAAUCUGCCUGGUAGUGGGGGAUAACGUCCGGAAACGGGCGCUAAUACCGCAUACUGAUGGAUGGACCCGCGGUGCAUUAGCUAGGUGGUGAGGUAACGGCUCACCAAGGCCACGAUGCAUAGCCGACCUGAGAGGGUGAUCGGCCACACUGGGACUGAGACACGGCCCAGACUCCUACGGGAGGCAGCAGUGGGGAAUAUUGCACAAUGGGCGCAAGCCUGAUGCAGCCAUGCCGCGUGUAUGAAGAAGGCCUUAGGGUUGUAAAGUACUUUCAGCGGGGAGGCGUUACCCGCAGAAGAAGCACCGGCUAACUCCGUGCCAGCAGCCGCGGUAAUAC
rnacentral:rRNA from 1 species